rnacentral:rRNA from 1 species
AUGAAUAAAGACGGUCUCCCGGCUAGGUUCUUCCAACAGAAUUGGGCCGUGCUGAAAUCUGAAAUUAUUGCUGCUGUUUUGGAGUUCUUUAAGUCAGGAAUAAUGCCUGACGGGGUAAACGACACGGCUAUUGUUUUUAUCCCAAAAAUUCCUUUCCCAAUGGAACUCAAGGAUUUUAGACCGAUAAGCCUAUGUAACGUCAUUUACAAGAUUGUUUCAAAAUGUUUGGUGAACAGGCUAAGGCCGAUGCUUGUGGAGUUAAUUUCAGAGAAUCAGAGUGCCUUUAUCCUAGGAAGGCUUAUCUCUGACAAUUUUAUAAUUGCUUUUGAAUGUCUUCAUCAUAUACCGUCGCUGAAACAAAACAGGCCGGCGGCGUGUGCUUACAAGCUUGAUUUGUCAAAGGCAUAUGAUCGUGUUGACUAG